GACGUAGGGCGCGAGCGUGUCCGGAUUUAUUGGGCGUAAAGAGCUCGUAGGCGGCUUGUUGCGUCAGCUGUGAAAACCCGCAGCUCAACUGUGGGCUUGCAGCUGAUACGGGCAGGCUUGAGUUCGGUAGGGGAGACUGGAAUUCCUGGUGUAGCGGUGAAAUGCGCAGAUAUCAGGAAGAACACCCGUGCGAAGGCGGUCUCUGGGACGGUACUGACGCUGAGACGAGAAGCGUGGGGAGCGAACAGGAUUAGAACCUACCGUGUC
rnacentral:rRNA from 1 species